rnacentral:rRNA from 1 species
AGUGAACGCUGGCGGCGUGCCUAAUACAUGCAAGUCGAACGGAGAUUCAGUAGCUUGCUAUUUAAUCUUAGUGGCGCACGGGUGAGUAAUAUAUAGCUAACUUGCCCAUUACUAAGGGACAACAGUUGGAAACGACUGCUAAUACCUUAUACUCCGUAUCUAUAUAAGUAGAUACGGGAAAGUUUUUCGGUAAUGGAUAGGGCUAUAUCGUAUCAGCUAGUUGGUAAGGUAAUGGCUUACCAAGGCUAUGACGCGUAACUGGUCUGAGAGGAUGAUCAGUCACACUGGAACUGAGACACGGUCCAGACUCCUACGGGAGGCAGCAGUAGGGAAUAUUGCUCAAUGGGGGAAACCCUGAAGCAGCAACGCCGCGUGAAGGAUGACACUUUUCGGAGCGUAAACUCCUUUUCUUGGGAAAGAAUUAUGACGGUACCCAAGGAAUAAGCACCGGCUAACUCCGUG